rnacentral:rRNA from 1 species
UACGGAGGAUGCAAGCGUUAUCCGGAAUUAUUGGGCGUAAAGCGUCCGUAGGUGGCUUUACAAGUCAGCUGUUAAAGCGUGGAGCUUAACUCCAUAAAGGCAGUUGAAACUGUGAGGCUAGAGUGCGGUAGGGGUAAGGGGAAUUCCCAGUGUAGCGGUGAAAUGCGUAGAUAUCGGGAGGAACACCAGAGGCGAAGGCGGGUUACUGGGCUGAUACUGACGCUGAAUCACGAAAAGCUAGGGGGAGCAAACGGGG